GGCGAUUAUGGCCUCGGAAUUUCCGGAAGUUCUAUAUAAAACGAGCCAGUGUUUGACAUCGUCAAAUCAAACCAUGUUGUUCGUCGUAGCGUUGUUGAUAAGCUGGAGCUGCUUUAUAACAGGUGCGCAAAUUAGAGCAACCAUAUAUGACAAAUGCCUAGAAAAAUAUAAUCUUGACUUAAACGAAUUUAUAAAUGUAGUAACAAGCAGGCCUAAAAAACUACCAGAAACUGUGUUGUGUGUUUUAAAAUGUCAAAUGGAAGAAACAGGUGGCAUAGGCAGCGACGGAAAAGUCAAUAAAACUUGGUGGCCUCCGUUUGACUGCAUGAAGGCUUUGGAUUACAUAAAGACGUGUCAAGAUUUUGAGAAGUUACGGUCGUGCGUCUCGCCGUUUGCAUAAAAUAAGUUAUAUGUAUGAGUAUUAUAUUAUUUACCGGGCAUGUAAUGAAGGCUAUUAUCACAUUAGGAUGUGUAAUAAUAGCUCAUUACGUGCGAGUAGAAGACUAUUUUUUCUACCUACGACUCAAUAAAAAAUUCUGCUGUUGAAAA